AUUGAACGCUAGCGGCAGGCCUAAUACAUGCAAGCUGAACGGCAAGAUUUGUAGCAAUACGAGUCCUAGAGUAGCGUAAGGGUGCGUAACACGUAUGCAAUCUGCCCGCAACAGGAGGAUAGCUUAGCGAAAGUUGAGAUAAGACUCCAUAAGAUCACGAGAGGGCAUCUGAUUGUGAUUAAACUACAAGGGGUUGCGGAUGAGCANGCGUCUGAUUAGUUAGUUGGCGGGGUAACGGCCCACCAAGACGAUGAUCAGUAGGGGAACUGAGAGGUUGGUCCCCCACACU
rnacentral:rRNA from 1 species